rnacentral:lncRNA from 1 species
UGUGAUAAUUGGCAUCAGGUAAUUGCAGGAAGAGAUCUGGGCUCAUCUUAUCCCAGGCUGGUGGGCAAGAGGAAGGGGAGUUUGAGAAUUUCCUGAGAUGUCUCAAUCUGAGUGUCAGAGUGGGUUAGUGCUCAGCGAGUUACAUACUGACACCAUCACUCCCUGCCACUGAUGCACACACUAAUCACUCCCUGAGGGAGUGGAGAGAUGAGGACAGCUGCUGAUAAAUGCUGCCUCAGCCUUGUCCUGAAAGCCUCUCACUGUCCACGAGCUGUCCACCCAGGCUGAAUUUACAAGUGGUGCGGGUUGUACUACUGGAGAUCUCUUCUGGUACUGCAGAGUGAAGAGAAUGGAUGCCACUGAGCUUCCCUAUGGGAUCCUCUUCUGUCCCAGAUUUUCUUUGGGGUCUCAGGGAAUUUGUUCCUCCUCCUGAUUUAUAAGCAUGUGGUCUCCACCACCCACCAGCUGAAUCCUCCAGACCUGAUCAUCUCCCAUCUGGCCCUGGCCAACACUAUGGCCCUUCUCAGCCAGGGGAUCCCUGACAUCCUAUCAGCUUGGGGGUGGCAUAAUUUCCUGGAUGAUGUUAGUUGUAAAAUUCUCUUACAGUUAACGAGUGGCCCGCGGUCUUGCCAUAUGCACCACCUGCCUCCUGAGUGUCUUCCAGGCAGUCACCAUCAGUCCUGGCACCUCCCAGUGGGAAGAAGUCAAAACCCAAUUCCCCAAGUUCAUCUUCCCCUCCUGCCUCUUCUCCUGAGUCCUCAAUCUGCUGUUUGACAAGACCGCACCAAUGUUCAUCACAAGCCUUGGGAUCAGCACCAACAUGAACAGUGUCAUCCUGAAAUACAGUUCCUCCAUCAGUAUCAGUACAGUCACAACCCUGGGCAAUGCUGUGGUGCUCUCCCUCCAUGAUAUUUUCUUUAUGGGAUUCAUGAGCGUGGCCAGUGGCUACAUGGUGUUUGUCCUGCACAGACAACACCAGCAGGUCCGACUUCUCCACAGUCCCGGAUGCUCCCGCAGAACAGAGCCCGAAGUCAGAGCAGUGAAGAGAAUAAUUGUCCUGGUCACCCUCUACGUCCUCCUCUAUGGAAGGAACACAAUCACCCUGAGUUUUUUAUUGAAUAUGAAGGAAAGUCCAACCCUGUCAAGCAGGAUUUGA